GAUGAACGCUGGCGGCGUGCCUAAUACAUGCCAGUCGAGCGAACGGACGAGGAGCUUGCUUCUCUGAUGUUAGCGGCGGACGGGAGAGUCACAUGUGGAUAACCUACCUAUAAGACUGGGAUAAUUUCGGGAAACCGGCGCUAAUAGCGGAUAAUAUUUUGAACCGCAUGGUGCAAAAGUGAAAGACGGUCUUGCUGUCACUUAUAGAUGGAUCCGCGCUGCAUUAGCUAGUUGGUAAGGUAACGGCUUACCAAGGCGACGAUGCAUAGCCGACCUGAGAGGGUGGUCGGCCACACUGGAACUGAGACACGGUCCAGACUCCUACGGGAGGCAGCAGUAGGGAAUCUUCCGCAAUGGGCGAAAGCCUGACGGAACAAGGCCGCGUGAGUGAUGAAGGUCUUCGGAUCGUGAAGCUCUGUUAUGAGGGAAGAACAUAUGUGUAAGGAACUGUGCAGAUCUUGACGGUACCUAAUCAGGAAGCCACGGCUAACUACGUG
rnacentral:rRNA from 1 species